GAUGAACGCUGGCGGCGUGCUUAACACAUGCAAGUCGAACGAUGAAGCCCGGCUUGCUGGGUGGAUUAGUGGCGAACGGGUGAGUAACACGUGAGUAACCUGCCCUUGACUCUGGGAUAAGCGCUGGAAACGGCGUCUAAUACCGGAUACGAGCUUCCACCGCAUGGUGAGUUGCUGGAAAGAAUUUCGGUCAAGGAUGGACUCGCGGCCUAUCAGGUAGUUGGUGAGGUAACGGCUCACCAAGCCGACGACGGGUAGCCGGCCUGAGAGGGUGACCGGCCACACUGGGACUGAGACACGGCCCAGACUCCUACGGGAGGCAGCAGUGGGGAAUAUUGCACAAUGGGCGCAAGCCUGAUGCAGCAACGCCGCGUGAGGGACGAAGGCCUUCGGGUCGUAAACCUCUUUUAGCAGGGAAGAAGCGAAAGUGACGGUACCUGCAGAAAAAGCACCGGCUAACUACGUG
rnacentral:rRNA from 1 species